rnacentral:rRNA from 1 species
AGAGUUCGAUUAUGGCUCAGGAUGAACGCUGGCGGCAUGCCUAACACAUGCAAGUCGAACGGAGCACCCCUGACAGAGACUUCGGUCAAUGGAUGGGAAUGCUUAGUGGCGGACGGGUGAGUAACGCGUGAGGAACCUGCCUUUCAGUGGGGGAUAACACAUCGAAAGAUGUGCUAAUACCGCAUAACAUAGCGAUGGGGCAUCCCAUUGCUAUCAAAGAUUUAUUGCUGAAAGAUGGCCUCGCGUCCAAUUAGCUAGUUGGUGAGGUAACGGCCCACCAAGGCGACGAUUGGUAGCCGGACUGAGAGGUUGAACGGCCACAUUGGGACUGAGACACGGCCCAG